rnacentral:rRNA from 1 species
UUUAGCAAUUAAUCUCAACUAAGUCAAAAAAAAUUUUUUACUAAAAAAAGAAAACCUAAGCUAAGCAGGGUAGGGCCUGGUUAGUACUUGGAUGGGAGACCACCUAGGAAGACCAGGUGCUGCAGGCU